rfam:Thioclava atlantica strain 13D2W-2 contig3, whole genome shotgun sequence.
GGGGACCUUCGGGGCCCUAUACACACAGACAGGCGGGGCAACUCGCCGCAAGCUAACGGAAGACAGAAA